rnacentral:sRNA from 1 species
UCGAGACGACGUGAUUGGAUGCGGCCGUAGAUGGAUAAACUGGCGGCGGACCGUGCUUGGGCCCCGACUCGUAUCACUGAUCGAGUCAGUGCUUGACGCGCAGCCCCCGACCGGUCCGCCCAUGAAUAGCCAGCAGCCGCUGCAACCCCAGGGAG